UCUUUUUCAUAACUUUAAUGAACUGAUAUUUGUGUUACUGCAGAUUACCUGGCAUUGAUGUCUUUCAUUGCAUUCCUCUACAUCCUGAAUGCAAUACAGCAAUUUAAACACAGCAGUAAUUUCCCUGGUACAGUAUCAUUAUAACAUCAAUGCAUUUUAAUCAUUGAUUAUGCAGCUUAAUAGACUUUCAACUGGUUUUAAAUAAUAUUUUGUUGAAACACACAGCCAGUCUGAAUUUUUCAUUUAACGGACUUCCCUUUGUUUUUCUGAUUUGACUGAAAUUAAGAAAUAUGACUUAAGAAAAAAACUUUUUUUCCUGUAUCAGGAGUAACUGUAGAACCAGAAAAAAAAUUAAAAAUCAGUUUGUGUUUUGAACUAUUUUCAUGCAAGUAAAAUUGAAAAUAGUUCAAAAAGCAUGGCGAGAUUUUUUUGCCUUAGUCUUACAUACUUACUAAAACAGGCCUGAUUGCUUUUCAGCUGUUCUUCAUAUCCUAGUAUAUGUGUUUGGUUCUGCUGUCCUAAGUGUCCUUAAUUCAGCUGCUCUAGCAACAGAAGUCAUUCUGAAAGCAGAAAAUGGGGAACGAACUGUGGAAGAUCUUCGGUUGAUCGUCUUUCCCCUUGAGUCUUUCUUUUUGGCCUGUUGGCUAGUUUUACAGAUCUAUGCAUACUGUAUGCAGAAUACAGGGUAAGUACAAACUACCUGUAGUAAAUGCAUUUGACUAAUUAUGAGUAUGUUUAUCUGUUAUAAAUCCAACUAGGCUUUAAGUCUUAAUACAAUUUAAGCCUAGUUGUAUAAAAUAAGUUAUAAUGUAAAACCUUCUAAAUUAGCGGGACUGUGUCUCAAUCCGUAAGUUCCUUUCACUGUUUGUGGUAACACUACCAUUCCAUUUUACCUUAGAAUUAAAAAAUACUUGAAGCGCAUUGUCCAGAGCUGCAAAAUCUGUGGCCAAUCUUCAACAUCAUCUCAGCAAAAUCAGACGCCGCAGGAACUUCAAGAGAUAGUACCUCUCUCUCCACCUGAGCAGAGUACAACACACACACAGGAGGUAUUUUCUGGAACAGAUGAUGGUCUCAGUGAGGUGUAAAGGAUCCUUUCUCAUCUACAAAAGGACACAGUCUUAAGGCCUGAUUCUGUGUACCCACAAUGCACUUUGUAAUAUUUGUCUUUGCUAAUUGGUACACAGAAUUAUGACGUCAUUCGUCUCAAAACAUCACUCCUACGUUUCCGUGCUAAUACUGC